rnacentral:snoRNA from 1 species
GAUGCAUAAAUAGUCCACAAUUGAGAAAACUUACAGCUACAUGAGGGGCAAGUUUUUCGCUAACAUCACAAGGGUCUCUGGCCCAAUGAGUGGAGUUUGAUAGUAAUACUUGCUACAAAU